rnacentral:lncRNA from 1 species
GUUGACGGAGACCCUAGUGGUAGCGCGACCUCUGUGGGAGCUGGCAGCCUCUCCCAGAGGGCAGAGUUUCGCGCUGUGCUUACACAAUUGGUUGUAAAUUCUGCUGAGCUCUAUGGGUCCAUCUGGAUGAAAAGGUCUGUGUAAACGCAAGAUCAUUAUCAUUAUCAGCUGUCCCAGUUGGAGCCCAGUGAUUCGCAAGCCCACAAUCAAUGGGGUCUUCCCAACAAUUCCAUUCUACAUGGCUGGAGAAAAGGUGCAAUUACAUGGAGCUGCACAUCCUCUGGAGAGAGCGCCCUUUGUGUCUGUUCCCAGAGUGAUGGAGACAGGAAUCUCCCAGGCCCCUCAUCAGCCACAUGGAGAGAGGUGCCCGCCAGGCUCUGCCCAGGCCAGGGACAAGAAUCGGGGCAGAUCUGGAACUUUGUAGACAUGAGGGGACAGCAUGCUGCACCUCUGCAGCUCAGGUGCUCUCAGGAGGCACUGUGGAGGCCGCAAGGAUCCUCUUCCAUCUUUUUCCUUUCUGAUUUUGUCUAGGAUCAAGAACAACCUGGAUCCGGGAGAUCUUUUCUCUCUGAAGUUGACUGCCCACUGCACACAGAAACUAAGGGAGGCUCCCCACCUGGGCAGCUCUGAGCUGGAGACCAUGAAGCCCCACUUCAUUCUUUCCGCACGAAUCUCUGGCACUUGUGCUGGUGACCUUGGGAGAAGACUGUAUAUGAGUUAACUCUCUGAUCUCAAGGAAAAGAUGAGACAUACGGGCACAGAUAUCAGCACCAAGCUCAUCUCAUUUCGGUCAAUUUCCAAGUUGACCUACAGACCUGUGAGAACUAAAAACAAAAUUGUGAUUUAUUAUGUAGCAAUAGUUAACUGAUACACAGGACUUAAGUUGAUCACAGUUACUCACCUACUAAGUUGUACAGUCAUAUUUAAAAAAU